AAGAAAAAGGGAGUAAACAUACUAAUAGACCUCUAUUUGAUACAUGUGUCAAUAAAAAACCUUAACAUCUUUUGUCUCUUGUUGGUUGUUUCCUUCUCUAAAACAGCAAGCUUGGGCAACAGAUGAUGUAGCUCAGAUUUAUGAUAAGUGUAUUACAGAACUGGAGCAACAUCUACAUGCCAUCCCACCAGCUUUGGCCAUGAACCCUCAAGCUCAGGCUCUUCGAAGUCUCUUGGAGGUUGUAGUUUUAUCUCGAAACUCUCGGGAUGCCAUAGCUGCUCUUGGAUUGCUCCAAAAGGCUGUAGAGGGCUUACUAGAUGCCACAAGUGGUGCUGAUGCUGACCUUCUGCUGCGCUACAGGGAAUGCCACCUCUUGGUCCUAAAAGCUCUGCAGGAUGGCCGGGCAUAUGGGUCUCCAUGGUGCAACAAACAGAUCACAAGGUGCCUAAUUGAAUGUCGGGAUGAAUAUAAAUAUAAUGUGGAGGCUGUGGAGCUGCUAAUUCGCAAUCAUUUGGUUAAUAUGCAACAGUAUGAUCUUCACCUAGCGCAG
rnacentral:sRNA from 1 species